rnacentral:miRNA from 1 species
GAACCUAGCCAAAGGAAUAAGAGA